GAUGAACGCUGGCGGCGUGCCUAAUACAUGCAAGUCGAGCGAACGGACGAGAAGCUUGCUUUUCUGAUGUUAGCGGCUGACGGGUGAGUAACACGUUGAUAACCUACCUAUAAGACUGGGAUAACUUCGGGAAACCGGAGCUAAUACCGGAUAAUAUUUUGAACCGCAUGGUUCAAAAGUGAAAGACGUUCUUGCUGUCACUUAUAGAUGGAUCCUCGCUGCAUUAGCUAGUUGGUAAGGUAACGGCUUACCAAGGCAACGAUGCAUAGCCGACCUGAGAGGGUGAUCGGCCACACUGGAACUGAGACACGGUCCAGACUCCUACGGGAGGCAGCAGUAGGGAAUCUUCCGCAAUGGGCGAAAGCCUGACGGAGCAACGCCGCGUGAGUGAUGAAGGUCUUCGGAUCGUAAAACUCUGUUAUUAGGGAAGAACAUAUGUGUAAGUAACUGUGCACAUCUUGACGGUACCUAAUCAGAAAGCCACGGCUAACUACGUG
rnacentral:rRNA from 1 species